ACAUGCCUACAACAUAGCGUUAAUGCAUUGAAUCCCCUUAGAACUCCGUAGUCAAGCGCUCUCAGGCUAGAGUAGUACUGAGAUGGGUGACCGCCCGAGAAGUCCUAGUGUUUUACAUGCC
rfam:Picea glauca, whole genome shotgun sequence.